CUCACUCACCAAGGGCCGCGCCGGGGUUCUGCACUGUCACUGCGCUGCGGUUCCCCGCCUUAGGGAUUCUCACACGGUUCCACGGCUCCGGGCCCGGCGGCACCGCAGCCAUCUUGCGAGGCGGGGGGACUUAAGAAAGGCGGAACUACGCGAGAGCACGUCGAGCGACCGGAGUCUGGAACAGUUCCUCGUUCUUUCUCUGGCUCUGGAUCUGCGUCCCUGACAGUCUUAAAGAGGACAGACCUUUCAUUCAUGAGGAUGACCCUCAACUUGGCCCAGUCCAUGUUUCCUCAGACUCAAGCCUUGCAUUCCUGGCAGAAAGACUGAAGAAAUGAUGCUGUGCUCUUCUCAGUGCUUCACGUCAGGAGGCUCUACUCUCUCAACCGGCCCCACUAUUGUCUCUGUGUGGCUUGGCCAUGAGGAUCGGAGAGGAUAUAAAGAGGGCAGGAGAGGGGACGACUCCCAUUUUGCCACCCUG
rnacentral:antisense_RNA from 1 species